CACGACUUCCGACCGCAGGACGACGACCUUCCAAACAUGGCCGCUGUGACCAAGAAGGACCCCGGCGACCUGGAGUUUAAACUGAACCACCGCGACAUCUUGAGGACUACCAG